CCUACGGGUGGCAGCAGUGGGGAAUAUUGCACAAUGGGGGGAACCCUGAUGCAGCAACGCCGCGUGGGUGAAGAAGGACUUCGGUAUGUAAAGCCCUGUCAGCAGGGAAGAAAAUGACGGUACCUGACCAAGAAGCCACGGCUAACUACGUGCCAGCAGCCGCGGUAAUACGUAGGGGGCAAGCGUUAUCCGGAUUGACUGGGUGUAAAGGGAGCGUAGCCGGCAAGGCAAGUCUGGAGGGAAAGCCCGUGGCUCCCCCCCGGGACUGCUUUGGAAACUGUUUUGCUGGAGUGCAGGAGGGGUCAGCGUAAUUCCUCGUGUAGCGGUGCACUGCGUAGAUCUUAGGCGGACCACCGGUGGCGAAGGCGGCUUACUGGACUGUACCUGCCGUUGCUGCUCGAAUGCGU
rnacentral:rRNA from 1 species